rnacentral:rRNA from 1 species
AAAUUGAAGAGUUUGAUCAUGGCUCAGAUUGAACGCUGGCGGCAGGCCUAACACAUGCAAGUCGAACGGUAACAGGAAGCAGCUUGCUGCUUCGCUGACGAGUGGCGGACGGGUGAGUAAUGUCUGGGAAACUGCCUGAUGGAGGGGGAUAACUACUGGAAACGGUAGCUAAUACCGCAUAAUGUCGCAAGACCAAAGAGGGGGACCUUUGGGCCUCUUGCCAUCGGAUGUGCCCAGAUGGGAUUAGCUUGUUGGUGGGGUAACGGCUCACCAAGGCGACGAUCCCUAGCUGGUCUGAGAGGAUGAGCAGCCACACUGGAACUGAGACACGGUCCAGACUCCUACGGGAGGCAGCAGUGGGGAAUAUUGCACAAUGGGCGCAAGCCUGAUGCAGCCAUGCCGCGUGUAUGAAGAAGGCCUUCGG